UCUAUAUACUUAAAAUUGAGGCUCACACUUCAUAUCUAGCUCAUAAUGUAGUAACUCCCACUUUUUUGCAAGUAUGCAUGUUGCGAAAGCUUGCUCAAAGGAUCAUCAAAAUGGUGUUUUUUCAAGCUCAGUCCAACGUUACCUUUCUCUACUAAACAACCAUUCCAAUUGGUUCCAAUCCACAACCCAUAUAUUCACCUCGAUUGCUUCUCAAUCUCAUCCACAAAAGGACAAAAUAACGAUGAUGAUUUGUAGCCACAAAGGUAAGAAGAAAACACAAAGUUAAUCACCAGUUUUUCGUACACAAAGUUAACCGGUUUUUUCUCUUCAAAGGGGCCAUGUUUUUCUUCUUAUUUUUCUCACAAAUCACACUAGAAAACGGCUAGGGUUAUAUCCAUAUAAAUAGGGUUAGUUUAUGCUUUUAAUUGGACCAAUAACAAAGCUAAACGGGACAAGAUUCAAAGUUACCUAAGAGAGAUAGAAAAAGGUCGAGUAGAGCCUGUGGAUUUGGAUGUUGGUACUUGUUUCAUUCAUCGGGCUAGGCCUAUGAAAUAUAUAUUCUCACGUUAACAUCAUACCCCGAAUUUAUUGGGUAUCAAAACCCAACAAAUCUCCAUCUAGAUGCCCAAUAAACCUGCAAACAAUCAAAACACAUAGUUAUUUAUUGCAUAAUCAAGAUAACCAAUAAAAUUGAAAUCACAGACCUUAGGUCAUGUUUCGGACCCGAAACACAUACCAUACUUACUCCAUGUACGCACCAGGGCUAAAGUCAAGAAUACCCAAG
rnacentral:lncRNA from 1 species